UCUGCCUCCCGCGGCGGGCCGGGUCUCCAGGGAGGACCUGAGUUUUUCUUCACCCAUGGUCAGGGAGGCGCCAUCGCCCUGGCUUUGGGGCUGGGGCCUCCGGGGAGGUUCCGGUAGGGGCGUUGGAGAGGCCGCUCUUUUUGCAAGGCCCGAGAUGGCGGGCCCUGCGCAGGCCGCCCUAUUCCGCGCCCUCAGGGCGUCAGUAUCCGCCUGAGGCCGGAUACCCACUCUGGGCUCGGAUACCCGCGCUGGGCCCGGAGCAUCCUCGGCGCUGCCCUCCCAGAGCCCCGCAGAGGCUGAGGUGGCGCGGGGGCGGCCCCGGCUCCGCGAGAAGAGGCGGCAGCGAGGGCUGGAGGACCCGGGCUACGGGGCUCCGGGGCGUCUGGCCUGGGUGGGACUGAGCCCAUCCAGGGACUGGGACUCCGGGGUUCUGGUGUAGGUGGAUCCCGGGCAGGCUCAGGACCAAGACCCUCUCCUUCCACCAAGGAGCGCCCAGAGGCCGGCGGGAGCUCCAGGUUCACCUCCUCCUCCUCCAGGAAAUCCCACUUCCAGCUGGAUGUCUGGAUGAACUCCUGAAAGCUGCUGAGUGUCCUGCAGCAGGUGAGCUGUGGCCAGAGCCCAAGGAUGAAGGGGACUCCCUCACUCUGUGACUGUGAAGAGGAAGCCUGAGGUGUAGCAGGCCCAGGCCCCAGAAGUAUGGAAAAAAUGAGCCUUUCAUCCCAAAGAUGCAGCCGACUUGAUUGUGGUGGAUGAGCUUUUUGAUGUGCUGCUGGAUUCUGUUUGCUAGUAUUCUAUUAAGAAUUUUUGCAUUGAUGUUCAUCAGGGAUAUUGGCCUGGAUUGAGCAGGCCAUUUCCAAUCCAGAGGAAGACCUUCUAGAAGAAGUGAUGGGUGGGAGAGUGCUGACAUACUAUGCAAAGCUACUAUUUGGAGUUGGACACGAGUGCAUGUGACCUUGUGCCACAGCGGGAAUGUGAGCUGGAUGACAAAUGGAGAUUUGGACUUGUGAUAAUUGGCCUCUGUGUCAUUGUGUGGAAGACUGACUGGUCCCUUUAUUUCCUGUAGCUUGACUACCACACAAAUUAAUCCACUCAAAUGUUGGCAAGUGGAGCAGAGUCCCAGGACAGGUACAGAAACACCCCCAGUUCAAGGAUCUUCACACCUGGAUUUAGGCCUACACCUGCAACUACCCCAGGCCAGUUAUCCAGGCAGUGACUUUCUGUACAGCUACAGUCACCUCUGGACACCUGCGGAGACUUUAAAAAUUUCCAGAAGGUCAGGAAUUUUUGGAGACCUUUCUUAUGGCUACGUUGCCUGCAAAGGUGAAUCAAUAAGCUUCUGAACUGACUUAGAAAAUGUUGCAGAGACUCUUGUGAACAGAUAGACCCUCUCCUGCCACUCCAGAUAGACGUAUCCGGGUCACACACACCUGAUUUAACAACAUCUCAUUAUCUCAGAUGCUGUAAAGGACUGUCAGUAGGCCUUCAGCCAGGAGGUGGUGCUUCCAAAAGACUGCCAGCUGUGGUGGUAGUGGUGAGAUUUGGACUUGCCUUAUGUUACCCAUGGGAGGCACUCUGGUGUCUCAGGAAAUAGGUGGAGCCAUAGAGCUUCUAAAAGUUUCUUCUGUUAUUUGUGUUAAUCUACCAGGGUAGGUGGUUGAGCAAAACCAAGUGGGAACUAGGUCAGGUAAGGUGAUGCUCUGGCUCUCUAUGUGUGGGACAAGCAGUGGAUCCAGUGGGAAUUGGAAGGCAGUUCUUGGGCCACUGGAGUAAUUUUCCAGAGAGAAGUGAAGCUGUCUCUGCCUCUGUACAAGGAGAGUCCAUAUGAAGAAUGGGGAGUAGCAGCUUGGUAGUAAGCCCCAUCCAGCUCCCACACACUUGGCAAGGCAGGUCUCACACCCACAGUGUUCCACUGGGAGUAGCUAGCUAAGUUUCAAGAAGUCUGAGCUCAGAACUCAAAACUGACCCAUACCAUAAGCCUCUCCUAUGGAGACAGCAACUGCAACCUUCAGGCCACACCCUUCCUGAUCCACCUACAGAGCAGGGUCCCCCAGCUCCUGUGCUUGCUGCUGCAGCACACUUCCCACUCACCUCUCAGUUCUGGCCUGGGGAGUUUGUCCCCAGUCAAGAUUAUAUCACACAUUUCAGUUGGGAGGUUGUCUCAACCUGUGACCACCAUCUGAGUUAGCUGGCAGACUUCUAGGAGGUCCUGUCUGAGGUAGAAUCAGAAAUGGCUUCCCUCCAUUCUACCAGAAACUGGGAAUGUGCUGGAGAUUCAAAGCACAUCCCAAUGCCACUCCUCAUAUACUCACCACUCUUCCCUAAAUCAGCUCCAGCGCUGAGUAGGGUUAAGGCCUUCCCUCACGGCCUGGAUUGAUAGGUUUCCCAGUGGAAGUGUAUAUCUUAGAGUCAGUUUACCCUCCUGUCACACCCUGGAAACUUACAAUUUUCUGCCUAGCUUAUGGUGUAAGCUGCAUCCUGCUGUUUCUUUCAAAUGGUCUGUGGCUUUUUUCAAUUUUCCUGUUAAAUUCCUGUGUAGCUUCUUGAAAGAAAGUUCACAGUGUGAGUCUCUACACAGCAUUUUGUCUUUCCAAGUGCAAGAGGCAGACUAACAAUGCCUUCAGUCCACCAUCUUGGAAAACAAAAGUAACAGUUUUCUCAUUUUUAAAAGUUUUGUUAAGAUCUGUUAAUGAUUCACAAAGAAAUAGUACUUGGGUAUAUUUGAAAUUAGUAUUUAUUCAUUUAUGUUGAUAAGUGAAAAUGCAAGAUGGUUAUCAAGAUGGAAGUACUUAAUAUGUAUAUUUUAAUAUUCUUAGAUGCAGAUAACUUCACUUUUGAUGUAUUUUUAUUUUGUCUCAGUUUCAUUUCAACUUACGUUUAAGGGGUUCUUGAUAAUCUGACAUGAUAAGUGGUGUUGGAAUUGGCAUUAAAAUCCACCAUGCUCUACAGCACUUCAUCCUUCUUCGGCAGGCACCAAUUUGAUCUUCUACUACUUUGCAGACAUCUCUUCUGCAAACACCAGACAAACUGAGACAAUGAACUUCCGCAGGACCCAAAGCACCUCUUACUGCAGGAAAGAAGAUCCAGUGAGAUAGUUAGUCCACAAAUGGAAUGUCAAUCCAUAAACACACUUAAGUAACAGAAUAAAUUUAGUAUGAGCGUUUUUAUGUGGGAGCUCUUGAAAUGGUUGCUGCUCAUAUGUCAGAGACAUAUGCAGUUUAAGAAAGGUAGCAGUUCCAAUCCUGGUUUGGCCCAACAGUCACUGCAUUUUUGGUGGGGAAAAGGGAUGUGGGAGGAGAUGGUACAUCUUCAUCUUUUUCUCUGGGUUUUCUGUCAGAAAGGGAUGUUGCUUACUCCAGUGGCAAAAAAUGCCAGUGUCUUCUGCCAGAGUGGGUUACUGAGGGCCAUGGUGGUUCCACCUUGUGGCUGAUACAGAUAGUCCCUUUCUGCUUUUGUUUCUAGCCAAAAAAGAUGUUUCUCGCAUCUCAGGUAUGCAGACUUCAGCAGCUGUUUUUUCUAUAUGGCUAUUUUUUUUUUCUUUCACUCUCUCUUUCUCUCUUUUUUUUUUGUUGGCUUCACUGUGUUGCCAUAGUUUCUUAAAUGGUCCCUUGAACCCUCCCAGAGCUAUUUUGGUUUGUACAUAACUAUCUAUAUAUUUUUUUCUUGGGGGGAGUGUGUAGAGCUAAAGGCUGGUAUAUCCUGCUCCUGCUCCCCGAAAGUGACGUUAUUCCCCCAAGCUAAUAUUUCAGGCUUUCAAUUUAUUCAUGCUUUCAUCUGUUUAAACAUAAGUAGAAAUUACUUUUUCUCUCCACAUUUAGAUUUGAUCUAUCUACUUUAAUUGCUAAUAGUGUCUUAGUCAUAGAAUAGAUUAGUUAGAAAAAAGUGUUUUUGACAUUAUAAAUGAUUCUUUCAAUUUGUGUCUAAAAGUGGAAAAUACUAGAAAGCUUAACAUUUAUUAUUGUAUUCAGACCAGUAUUUCCUCCAGAUGACCUUUAUUACAACAAAGAUAAUUUAAUGAAGAUCUCUCUAAUGGUAAAGCUGAUGGCUUUGUGCUAUUACAAUAUCCUUCAAAUAAAGUGACGAUCUGGUGGAAAGAACAACUAAAGCAAGGAUUAGGAAGAAAACAGUUAAUACCUUCAUUUUGGUCUCACUCUGCAUUAAGAGUUUUCAUUGUGUUAAGGAUUUAUUAUACAUUAAGUAAUUUAAUGUUCAUUUAAUAAUAAAUGGAUCCUAUUAAAUAUGAUUUUUAAAAUUAUAAUCAC
rnacentral:lncRNA from 1 species